rnacentral:rRNA from 1 species
GACGAACGCUGGCGGCGUGCUUAACACAUGCAAGUCGAACGGAAAGGCCCUGCUUUUGUGGGGUGCUCGAGUGGCGAACGGGUGAGUAACACGUGAGUAACCUGCCCUUGACUUUGGGAUAACUUCAGGAAACUGGGGCUAAUACCGGAUAGGAGCUCCUGCUGCAUGGUGGGGGUUGGAAAGUUUCGGCGGUUGGGGAUGGACUCGCGGCUUAUCAGCUUGUUGGUGGGGUAGUGGCUUACCAAGGCUUUGACGGGUAGCCGGCCUGAGAGGGUGACCGGCCACAUUGGGACUGAGAUACGGCCCAGAAUCCUACGGGAGGCAGCAGUGGAGAAUAUUGCACAAUGGGCGGAAGCCUGAUGCAGCAACGCCGCGUGCGGGAUGACGGCCUUCGGGUUGUAAACCGCUUUCGCCUGUGACGAAGCGUGAGUGACGGUAAUGGGUAAAGAAGCACCGGCUAACUACGUG